GACGUAGGGGGCCAGCGUUGUUCGGAAUUACUGGGUGUAAAGGGUUCGUAGGCGGUGCGGCAAGUCGGGAGUGAAAUCUCUGGGCUUAACCCAGAGGCUGCUUCCGAAACUGCUGUGCUUGAGUGUGGGAGAGGCGCGUGGAAUUGCAGGUGUAGCGGUGAAAUGCGUAGAUAUUUGCAGGAACACCCGUGGCGAAAGCGGCGCGCUGGACCACUACUGACGCUGAGGAACGAAAGCCAGGGGAGCGAACGGG
rnacentral:rRNA from 1 species